AUACCGGCAGCUCGAGUGAUGGCCAAUAUUAUUGGGCCUAAAGCGUCCGUAGCUGGCCGAACAGGUCCGUCGGGAAAUCCGCUCGCUCAACGAGCGGACGUCCGGCGGAAACCAGUCGGCUUGGGACCGGAAGACCCGAGGGGUACGGCCGGGGUAGGAGUGAAAUCCUGUAAUCCUGGCCGGACCACCGGUGGCGAAAGCGCCUCGGGAAGACGGAUCCGACAGUGAGGGACGAAAGCUAGGGUCACGAACCGGAUUAGAUACCCGGGUAGUCCUAGCUGUAAACGAUGCUCGCUAGGUGUGGCACUGGCUACGAGCCAGUGCUGUGCCGUAGGGAAGCCGAGAAGCGAGCCGCCUGGGAAGUACGUCCGCAAGGAUGAA
rnacentral:rRNA from 2 species